AUACGACCUACUAUCAGGACCCCUGUGAAUCAGAUACAGCCCAGUCCAGGUACUCCUAAAAGCCACUGGUGAGUCUUGGGAAAAUAAAUGGAGGGAGGAUAACUAAUUGGGAAUGUUCUGGGACUACAGAGAAAUAUGAGUCUGCAUGAGUUCUCUCUUUACAAGGGUAAAUUCUCUAUAGAGCACAGAUAAACGUUAUUUAAGUUAUUUCUCUUCAUUGUCUAUAUGUUUUGGGUAUAUAGAUGAAUUGGGAAAAAAUCUUUAUUCUUAAGCUCUGAAGAAAAAGAUUGGUAAUAGAUUUGUUUGGAACUUUUUGAGGGGGAAAAAUAAGUCCAUGUGAAAGGGGACAAAACGGGUUAAAAAUCCAAGAUGCAGAAGCAGAUAUCAUGUCAGAAUUAAAACAAUGACUUAACACUGUACAUACCAGGGAAUGUACAAAUCAUCUUAUUUGACAUCUCAGUCGACUUAGAGGCUUUAGAAUUAUUAUAGUUUUGGAAAGUAGUAUGAAGUUUGAGUCAUUAGGUCGUUCAGUUUCCCUGAUUACGUCAACUUACUGGGUUAUUGAGGAAUGAAAGAAACCCAUUAUCAAAAGUGUCAUCUUGAUUAUAAAGAUUAAAUAAACUAAAUCCAAUUCAUGAGAAUUAGCUUUCACAAUCUGUUAAAAAUUAACAAUAAGUUAAAAAAUUGGUUGCAGAGCAGGAGUGAUUAAAGUUUUAUCAUUUUUGAAAUGCAGAGAUUAAAUGAAUAAUAUAUGGAAGACAUGAACAGUUGAACAAAUCCAUGCAGUUUUUAAAAAACUACUUUUGAAGUAUAAUAUACAUAUCCUAAAACUCAAUAAUUUUUGCUAAAUUUAAGAGUUGUGCCAAUGCCACUACAAUUCAGUUUUGGAAAGUUUUCAUUUCCUGAAAAAGAUGCUUAUUACCCACUAUAUGUGACCUGAUCUCAGUACCUACCUCUAGAUUCAGGCAAACAGUACUCUGCUCUCUGCCUCUAUAAUUUUGCCAUUCCUGGACAAUUCAUAUAAAUGGAAUAUAUGAUAUAUGAUCUCUAUCACCUGACAUUUUUAUCUAGCAUAAUGUUUUUUGAGUUUAUUCAUAUUGUAGCAUCUAUCAGUAUCCCAUUCCUUUUUUACAGCUGAAUAAUAUUUCAUUUUGUUAUCCAUUCACCAAUUGACUAUUUGAAGUUUUUCCAGCUUGGGGCUAUUCUGAUAAUGCAUACAAGACUUUAUGUAGAUAUGUGUUUUCAUUUCUCUUAUGUAGAUGCUUUUUUUGGGGGGCUGGUAAUUUUUUUUUUGUGUGUGUGUGUGUGUGUAGAUGCCUACGAGUAAAAUGGAUAGGGAUAUAAUAAAUUUAUAUUUAACAUUUUAAAAAACUGCCAAAUUAUUUUCCAAAGUAGCUGUAUUAUUUUAUAUUCCCACAAAUGACAUAUGAAGGUUUUACUUUUUCCUCAUCCUUCCUGAUACUUAUUAUUGUCCUUUAUUUAUUUAUUUUGGGGGGUAUAGGGGAUUAAACUCUGGGGCACUCAACCACUGAGCCACAUCCCCAGCCCUUUUUUUUUUUGUAUUUUAUUUAAACACAGGGUCUCACUGAGUUGCUUAGCACCUCACCAUUGUUGAGGCUGGCUUUGAACUUGUGAUCCUCAAGUUUCAGCAUCCCAAACUGCUGGGAUUACAGGUGUGCGCCACCAUGCACAGCUGUCCUUUAUUAUUAAUGACUAAUAAUAUUGAAUACCUUUUCUUGUAGUUAUCAGCCACUCCUAUUUCUUUUGUGUAAUGUCUAUGCAGAGCUUUUGCUGUUUUUCAAUCCGGUUUGGGUUCAAAUUCUGGNUUUAUCAUUUUUGAAAUGCAGAGAUUAAAUGAAUAAUAUAUGGAAGACAUGAACAGUUGAACAAAUCCAUGCAGUUUUUAAAAAACUACUUUUGAAGUAUAAUAUACAUAUCCUAAAACUCAAUAAUUUUUGCUAAAUUUAAGAGUUGUGCCAAUGCCACUACAAUUCAGUUUUGGAAAGUUUUCAUUUCCUGAAAAAGAUGCUUAUUACCCACUAUAUGUGACCUGAUCUCAGUACCUACCUCUAGAUUCAGGCAAACAGUACUCUGCUCUCUGCCUCUAUAAUUUUGCCAUUCCUGGACAAUUCAUAUAAAUGGAAUAUAUGAUAUAUGAUCUCUAUCACCUGACUUUUUUAUCUAGCAUAAUGUUUUUUGAGUUUAUUCAUAUUGUAGCAUCUAUCAGUAUCCCAUUCCUUUUUUACAGCUGAAUAAUAUUUCAUUUUGUUAUCCAUUCACCAAUUGACUAUUUGAAGUUUUUCCAGCUUGGGGCUAUUCUGAUAAUGCAUACAAGACUUUAUGUAGAUAUGUGUUUUCAUUUCUCUUAUGUAGAUGCUUUUUUUGGGGGGCUGGUAAUUUUUUUUUUGUGUGUGUGUGUGUGUGUAGAUGCCUACGAGUAAAAUGGAUAGGGAUAUAAUAAAUUUAUAUUUAACAUUUUAAAAAACUGCCAAAUUAUUUUCCAAAGUAGCUGUAUUAUUUUAUAUUCCCACAAAUGACAUAUGAAGGUUUUACUUUUUCCUCAUCCUUCCUGAUACUUAUUAUUGUCCUUUAUUUAUUUAUUUUGGGGGGUAUAGGGGAUUAAACUCUGGGGCACUCAACCACUGAGCCACAUCCCCAGCCCUUUUUUUUUUGUAUUUUAUUUAAACUGCAACAUAUCCACCCCUGUUUUGUAUUUUAUUUAGAGAUAGGGUCUCACUGAGUUGCUUAGCACCUCACCAUUGUUGAGGCUGGCUUUGAACUUGUGAUCCUCAAGUUUCAGCAUCCCAAACUGCUGGGAUUACAGGUGUGCGCCACCAUGCACAGCUGUCCUUUAUUAUUAAUGACUAAUAAUAUUGAAUACCUUUUCUUGUAGUUAUCAGCCACUCCUAUUUCUUUUGUGUAAUGUCUAUGCAGAGCUUUUGCUGUUUUUCAAUCCGGUUUGGGUUCAAAUUCUGGACAAGGAUCCUUUAUCAGAUGUAUGAUUUAUAAGUAUUUUUUCCCAGUCUUUGUCAUGUCUUUCAUUUUCUUAACAAUGUCUUUUGAAACAUAAACAUUUUAAAUUUUGAUGAAGUCCAACUAAAUUUUUUCUUUUGAGUGUGCUUUUGGUGUCAUAUCUAAGAAAUCUUUACCUAACCCAAGGUCAUAAAAAUUUUUUUCCUGUUUUCUCAUAAGUUUUAUAUUUUAAUUUUUAAAAUGUAUGUCAUUUUGCUGGGCAGUUGCGACAUGCUUAUAAUCCUAUCAAGUUGGGAGGUCAAGGCAGGAGGAUUACAGGUUCCAGGCCAAUUGGGACAACUUAAUGAGACCCUGUCUCCAAAUAAAAAGUGGUAGAGUGCUUGCCUACCAUGUGUGAGUCCUUGUGUUCAGUCCCCAAUAAAUAAAACAAAAAGAAUAUGUCAUUCUGUGUUAAUUUAUAAGUAUGUUAAAAAGCAAGGGUCUAAAUUCAUCUGUUUUUAUGAAGUUGUCCAAUUGUCUCACUAUUUGUUUAAAAGACUAUCCUUUGUCAAAAGUAAUUUGACCAUAAGUUUAAGAAUUAAUUUCUGGACUUUUAAUUUUGUUCUAUAUGUCUGUCUUCAAGCCAUACUACAUUGUAUUGAUUAUUGUAGUUUUAUAGUAAGUUUGGAAAUUGGGAAGUAUAAGUACGUCAGCUGUGUUUUUCACUUUCAAUUUUUUUUUCAUCUGCUAGUGUAUUUGUAUCUCCGAAAUAUUUGUAAACUUCUGUGAAAUGAUUAUUGGGGUUUUGGUAGAGUUUGCACUGAAUUUGUAGUUGGUUCCAAAAGAAUUGCAAUCUUAAUAAUAUUGAAUAUUUGAAUUCAUGAUCAUAGAAUAUUUGUCCAUUUGUUUCAAUUUUCUUUAGUUCCUCUCAGCAAUAUUGUAUAAUGAUUAGUGUGUGUCUUGCAUUUCUAUUAACAAAUUUUUUAUUUUCAUGCUGUUGUGAAUGGAAUUUUUUUCUCAAUUUCAAUUUUAGAUUACUUACUGCUAAUAUAUAGAAAUAUAAUUAACUUUUUCAUAUUGAUAAUGUAUCCUGUGACCUUGCUGAACUCAUUAUCCAGUUCUAGUAUUUUAUUGUUGUUGAAGUUUUAGGGGUUUUUACUUACAGGAUAAGAUCAUCUGUGGAUAAAGGAAGACUAGCCUUUUUUUUUUUUUUUCUUCUUUCAAUCAGGAUUUCUUUUUCUCACCUGAUUCAACUACUCAGAACCACCACUACAGUGUUCAAGGAGCUGGAUGCAGUGGCACAUGCCUGUAAUCCCAGCAGAAGAUAGAGGCAGGAGGAUCAGAAGUUUGUGGCUAGCCUGGGCAAUUUAGUGAGACCGUUUUUCAAAAUUUAAAAAAUAUAAAAUUUAAAAGUAAUAAGUUCUAUCAUCAGUGCUGCAAAAAGUAAAAGAAAAAUAAAAGAAAGAAAG
rnacentral:lncRNA from 1 species